AACCAAACCAAGUGAGUCAUAAAAAGCCAAACACAUUAAUCAUCAUGAGCGUCAUUCAGGUUUGUCUUUAUCACUCUAAAUUUGCGUAGACUCUCUGGGACUGUCACAAAACCAAGUGAGUCAUAAAAAGCCAAACACAUUAAUCAUCAUGAGCGUCAUUCAGGUUUGUCUUUAUCACUCUAAAUUUGCGUAGACUCUCUGGGACUGUCACUGCAUGAUACACACACUGAGGCACAUUGUUUAUAAUUAACCCUGAGCCUUUCUAGCCAUCCCGAAUAAUUAUAUCCCUCGUUAACCCCCUUUGAGCCUAUAUCCAUUUUUUUGUUUAAACACCAUAAAUGUAACUGUUGGCCAAAACACUUCCUCACCCUGUUCAGAGUUAUGAUAAUGCAUUCAAAGCUUGUUGAA
rnacentral:lncRNA from 1 species